rnacentral:lncRNA from 1 species
UUGGUCAACCCUUGGUCAAUGGAUGGUCAACCCUUGGUCAACCAUUCAUCAACCCUUGGUCAACGGUUGGUCAGCCACUGGUCAACCCUUGGUCAAUGGUUGGUCAACCAUUCAUCAACCCUUGGUCAACCCUUGGUCAAUGGUUGGUCAGCCAUUCAUCAACCCUUGGUCAACCAUUCAUUAAUCCUUGGUCAACCCUUGGUCAAUCGUUGGUCAACCCUUGGUCAACCCUUGGUCAAUGGUUGGUCAGCCAUUCAUCAACCACUGGUCAACCAUUCAUCAACCAUUCAUCAGCCCCUGGUCAAUGGCUGGUCAACCAUUCAUCAACCCUUGGUCAACUAUUCAUCAAUCCUUGGUCAACCCUUGGUCAACCAUUCAUAAACCUUGGUCAACCCUUGACCUAUGGUUGGUCAACCAUUCAUCAACCCUUGGUCAACCAUUCAUCAACCACUGGUCAACCAUUCAUCAACCACUGGUCAACUAUUCAUUAACCUCUCAUCAACCCUUGGUCAACCACGGGUCAAUGGUUGGUCAACCAUUCAUCAACCGUUGGUCAACCAUUCAUCAACCCCUGGUCAACCAUUCAUCAACCCUUGGUCAACCCUUGGUCAACGGUUGGUCAGCCAUUCAUCAACCCUUGGUCAACCAUUCAUUAAUCCUUGGUCAACCCUUCGUCAAUCGUUGGUCAACCGUUCAUCAACAAUUGGUCAACCCUUGGUCAAUGGUUGGUCAACCAUUCAUCAACCCUUGGUUAACCCUUGGUUAACCCUUGGCCAACCAUUCAUCAACCUUGGUUAACC